rnacentral:rRNA from 1 species
AGUCAUAUGCUUGUCUCAAAGAUUAAGCCAUGCAUGUCUCAGUACAAGCCUAAUUAAGGUGAAACCGCGAAAGGCUCAUUAAAUCAGUUAUGGUUCCUUAGAUCGUACCCACAUUUACUUGGAUAACUGUGGUAAUUCUAGAGCUAAUACAUGCAAACAGAGCUCCGACCGGAGACGGGAGGAGUGCUUUUAUUAGAUCAAAACCAAUCGGCGGCGGGCGCGUUCGCGCGUCCGUUCGCCGCUCAAACUGGUGACUCUGAAUAACUUUCCGCUGAUCGCACGGUCUCGCACCGGCGACGCAUCUUUCAAAUGUCUGCCUUAUCAACUGUCGAUGGUAGGUUCUGCGCCUACCAUGGUCGUAACGGGUAACGGGGAAUCAGGGUUCGAUUCCGGAGAGGGAGCCUGAGAAACGGCUACCACAUCCAAGGAAGGCAGCAGGCGCGCAAAUUACCCACUCCCGGCACGGGGAGGUAGUGACGAAAAAUAACGAUACGGGACUCAUCCGAGGCCCCGUAAUCGGAAUGAGUACACUUUAAAUCCUUUAACGAGGAUCAAUUGGAGGGCAAGUCUGGUGCCAGCAGCCGCG